rnacentral:sRNA from 1 species
AUAUAGUUAACAAAAAAAUGUAGGUUCAAAUACUAAAUAAUGUAGGUUCAAAUACUAAACAUAGUUCAAAAUAAAAACAACUUGAAAUGACAAAGUUUGGAACAAAAUAUACAUAAAUUCAAAACAUAAUUUUAAAUUUCAAGGAGCGGCUACGUCAAUCUCUUAAUUUUCUUCAAUCAAUUCAAGUCUUGGGUUCUAUGUAUCAUACUCGCCUUAAAACUGCGGGUGUAAACACACAAAAACAUCAGAUCGGUGAGUUUGUGAACAGACAUCAUAUCUUUUGAGAGAAAGUAUAUUCGAGUCUUCCAAAACGAUUUCAUCAGCAAUGUUACCGGUGUAGACUUUAGCAACAGUAAUGAAUCAUAUCCACCAAAUAUGUUUUCCCUUUAAAUACAUAAGAGAAACUGAAAAGUCUUUCCUUUCAAACUGUUGAUCACAUCAGGCAAAACAGUUGGGUUUUCGAUCUACACAAAAAUAGAGAAUAUUAUUACAUGAACGUAGUCA